rnacentral:rRNA from 1 species
AUCAGUGAGUCAUCGAAUCUUUGAACGCACAUUGCGCCUCUUGGUAUUCCAGGAGGCACGCCUGUUCGAGCGCCAUUACAAACUCCAAGCUCUGCUUGAUGUUGGAUGCUGUCUUUGCGGAAGUGAAGACACAUCUGGAACGUGUGGGCGCCGCCGCCAGACCACGAGCGUAGCAAGACGAAAGUCAAUCGUUCGAUUUGGAUCUGUCUGUGGUAGUCUGUCUGUCUGUCGGAGUCUGGUCUUUGGAAUUCUGAAGAGCAGACAACGGACAACACCAAAAGUUUGGCCUCGGAUCAGGCGGGGAUACCCGCUGAACUUAAGCAUAUCAAUAAGCGGAGGAAAAGAAACCAACCGGGAUUGCCCCAGUAACGGCGAGUGAAGCGGCAACAGCUCAAAUUUGAAAUCUGGGGUCUUGCGGCCUCCGAGUUGUAGUUUGCAGAGGGAGCCUCGGAGGGCUUGUCGGUCCAAGUGCCUUGGAACAGGAUACCGCAGAGGGUGAGAGUCCCGUAUCCGGCCGACGUAGCGCUCCGUGUGAGGCCUCUUCGACGAGUCGAGUUGUUUGGGAAUGCAGCUCCAAGCGGGUGGUAAAUUCCAUCUAAAGCUAAAUACUGGCCAGAGACCGAUAGCGAACAAGUAGAGUGAUCGAAAGAUGAAAAGCACUUUGAAAAGAGAGUCAAACAGUACGUGAAAUUGUUGAAAGGGAAGCGCAUGGGGGCAGACUUGGCCGUGGGGUUCAGGGUGUCUAUUUUGGCGCCUGUAUUUCCCCGCGGACAGGCCAGCAUCGGUUCCGGGGGCCGGACAAAGGCGACGGGAACGUGGCUCUCCUCGGAGAGUGUUAUAGCCCGACGUGCAAUGCGGCCACCUGGGACCGAGGACCGCGCCUUGUGCAAGGAUGCUGGCGUAAUGGCCUCAUGCGGCCCGUCUUGAAACACGGACCAAGGAGUCUAACAUCUAUGCGAGUGUUUGGGUUUGAAGCCCGGACGCGCAAUGAAAGUGAACGGAGGUGGGAGCAUUCGUGCGCACCAUCGACCGAUCCGGACGUCUUCUGAAGGAUUUGAGUAAGAGCAUAGCUGUUGGGACCCGAAAGAUGGUGAACUAUGCGUGAAUAGGGUGAAGCCAGAGGAAACUCUGGUGGAGGCUCGCAGCGGUUCUGACGUGCAAAUCGAUCGUCAAAUUUGCGUAUAGGGGCGAAAGACUAAUCGAACCAUCUAGUAGCUGGUUCCUGCCGAAGUUUCCCUCAGGAUAGCAGUAACGUAUUCAGUUUUAUGAGGUAAAGCGAACGAUUAGGGAGCUAGGGGUUGAAACAACCUUUAUCCAUUCUCGAACUUUAAAUAUGUAAGAAGUCCUUGUUGCUUUGUUGAACGUGGACACUCGAAUGCAGCGUUACUAGUGGGCCAUUUUUGGUAAGCAGAACUGGCGAUGCGGGAUGAACCGAACGUGGGGUUAAGGUGCCGGAAUGCACGCUCAUCAGACACCACAAAAGGUGUUGGUUCAUCCAGACAGCAGGACGGUGGCCAUGGAAGUCGGAAUCCGCUAAGGAGUGUGUAACAACUCACCUGCCGAAUGAACCAGCCCUGAAAAUGGAUGGCGCUCAAGCGUGCUACCCAUACCCCACCGUCUUCUUUUGUGUUAGGAGAAGACGAGUAGGCAGGCGUGGAGGUUUUGUGACGAAGCCCAGGGG